CCUGCGGAAGGAUCAUUAUCGUACCACCGAGGUGCAAGGGCUGUCGCUGACCUUUGAAGGUCGUGCACGCCCGAGCGCUCUCGCCACAAUCCAUCUCACCCCUUUGUGCAUCACCGCGUGGGUCCCCCUUUGCGGGGAGGGCUCGCGUUUUCACACAAAACUUGAUACAGUCUAGAAUGUUUAUUUUUGCGGUAACACGCAAUCAAUACAACUUUCAACAACGGAUCUCUUGGCUCUCGCAUCGAUGAAGAACGCAGCGAAAUGCGAUACGUAAUGUGAAUUGCAGAAUUCAGUGAAUCAUCGAAUCUUUGAACGCACCUUGCGCCCCUUGGCAUUCCGAGGGGCACACCCGUUUGAGUGUCGUGAAAUUCUCAAAAUCCUUUUCUUUGAUCGGAAUAGGACUUUUGGACUUGGAGGUUCAAUGCUCGCUUUCGCCUUUGAAAGCGAGCUCCUCUCAAAUGAAUCAGUGGGGUCCGCUUUGCUGGUCCUUGACGUGAUAAGAUGCUUCUACGUUUUGGAUUUGGCAUUGUUUUCUCCGCUCCUAACUGUCCCCAUGGGACAACGAUGGUGCUUCGGUCGUCGCCAUCUAUGGCGGAAGGCUGAACCCACAAAGAACCUUGACCUCAAAUCGGGUGAGACUACCCGCUGAACUUAAGCAUAU
rnacentral:rRNA from 1 species